GUGGCGAUGCAUAAUUGUAAACUGGUGGUGGAGGUGACUUCACCGGUGGGGGAGGAGAGUGGUAGUAGUAUGGAGGUGGUGGGGAUGGUGAUGGAGGUGGUGGGGAUUUGUAGUAGUAUGGUGGUGGAGGCGAGUGGACUGGUGGGGGAGGAGAGUGGUAAUAGUACGGAGGUUGAGGAGAUGGUGACGGAGGUGGUGGGGACUUGUAAUAGUAUGGUGGUGGAGGUGAGUGGACAGGUGGGGGAGGAGAGUGGUAAUAAUAUGGCGGUGGAGGAGAUGGCGACGGAGGUGGUGGGGAUUUGUAGUAGUAGGGCGGGGGAGGAGAGUGGACUGGUGGUGGUGGGGAUUUGUAGUAGUAUGGAGGUGGAGGUGAGUAGACUGGUGGUGGUGGGGAUUUGUAGUAGUAUGGAGGUGGAGGUGAGUGGACUGGUGGUGGCGGGGAUUUGUAGUAGUAGGGUGGAGGAGGAGAGUGGACUGGAGGUGGCGGGGAUUUGUAGUAGUAUGGUGGUGGAGGCGAGUAGACUGGAGGGGAUGGUGACUUGUAGUAGUAAGGUGGCGGAGGUGAGUAAACGGGAGGAGUGGGUGAUUUAUAGUAGUAAGGUGGUGGAGGUGAGUAGACUGGUGGUGGAGGUGAUUUGUAAUAGUAUGGGGCAGGUAUGUGGACUGGCGGCGGUGGUGACUUGUAAUAGUAGGGAGGUGGAGGGGAUGGUGAAGGUGGUGGUGGAGACUUAUAGUAGUAUGGCGGUGGGGGUGAAUAGACUGGUGGUGGAGGUGAUUUAUAAUAGUAUGGAGGUGGAGGAGAUGGCGAUGGAGGUGGCGGAGAUUUAUAGUAGUAAGGUGGUGGAGGAGAGUGGACUGGUGGUGGAGGUGAUUUGUAAUAGUAUGGCGGUGGAGGAGAGUAGACUGGUGGUGGAGGUGAUUUAUAGUAGUAUGGCGGUGGUGGUGAGUGGACAGGUGGUGGAGGUGACUUGUAGUAAUACGGUGGAGGAGAAGAAUAGACCGGUGGUGGUGGAGAUUUAUAAUAGUAAGGUGGUGUCGGAUACUUUAUUGGAGGUGGAGGGGAUUUGUAAUAAUAGGGUGGUGGUGGUGAGGGUGAAGGAGGUGGUGGAGAUUUAUAGUAAUAUGGUGGUGGAGGUGAGUGGACUGGAGGUGGUGGAGAUUUGUAGUAGUAUGGUGGAGGUGAGUAGACAGGUGGGGGAGGAGACUUGUAAUAAUAUGGUGGUGGAGGUGAGUAGACCGGUGGUGGUGGGGAUUUAUAGUAGUAUGGUGGUGGUGAAUAAACCGGUGGUGGAGGAGACUUGUAGUAGUACGGUGGGGGAUGUGAAUAGACUGGUGGAGGUGGAGACUUAUAAUAGUAUGGGGGAGGAGAGUAAGUUGGUGGCGGUGGAGACUUAUAGUAAUAUGGUGAUGGAGAUGGUGGUGGCGGAGACUUAUAGUAAUAAGGCGACGGUGGGUAUUUUACAGGAGGUGGGGGAGAUUUAUAGUAAUAAGGUGGUGGGUAUUUCACAGGAGGUGGUGGAGACUUGUAAUAAUAUGGUGGAGGUGGAGGAGACUUAUAAAUGUAAGUUGGUGGUGGUGGAGGCGGUGACUUGUAGUAAUAAGGAGCGGGGGUAGGCUCAGGCUUGGGCUUCUCACAUUCCUCAUAAGGAGUCUUAGGAGCAUAAGCAAAUGGCUUGGCGUAGAGCACAACUUCAUAAUCAGUCUUCGACUUGACUUUAAGUUUGGCUCCCUUUUUACCCCAGUGCAAGUCAGUGGGAAUGUUGCAUGGUGAACCCUUUGGUGCCAUAUGGAGCUUGGCCUUGCAUGCUUUAGCUCCAUAUUUGCCGUAAUCAAAACCUUCGACUGUGAUGCUGUAUUUGCCGUUGAUCUUCGUCUUUCCAUAUGCCUUGAUUUUCUUGUCACCAACAUCGCAUGUCACUUCAACUACAGCACCUGUUACAUGAAUGUGUCAAUUUUGUCAGCAUCAUUUGUUGCACAAGUCUAGUUACUAGGGCAUUCUAAUUAGUCACUCCCCCACCAACUACAAUAACUAAAUUUGUCCUAUCUCGUUAAUAUAUUGCAAAAAUUAUUUAUAUAUGAUUCUAUGUUAAGACAAUUUGCCAAAUUUUAAAAUAAUUGAGGAAGCAUCAGCCACUAACAAUUUACACCCUGUUCUAUUCUGUACAGUAAAUACGCUUAUAUCCUCUCUGUUUCGCGAUUCACAAAUUAACCCAUCAAUUUAAUACAGACACGUGUAAAUAAAAUCAAUUUAAUUCUCUAAGACAUGAUCCAAUAAUAUCAUUUUUCAAAAUAGCAUUAGGUCAAAAUUGUAAUAAUAACCACAUUACUUGUAGUCAACACUACACCAUCCCCAAAGCAAUAAUAGCGACAUGAUAAUCCAAUGGCCAAAAUAGCCAAAUUUUACAUAUUUUAUUCUCUUUGAACCGAUUGGUUCUUUUUUUCUUUUAAAUGCUAAUUAAAAGUCAUUGAAUUAAAAUCAAGAAAACGAACCAUGUAAAAGCUUGUUGACAUGUACUCUUAAUUUAGGGGAAAAUUAAUGAGCAAUAAUUGAUAUUAAAAAUUAAUUAAUGUUCCAAGAAAACAAAUGUACCUUUAAGAUGUUUCUUGUCAUGUGACUUCUCCGGAUACUCCCAGUCGUAACAUCUGAAACAGUAUACUUUUCCAACAACCUUCACCACAAAAGUGUGGGGAUGUGGAUGAGGGUAUGGGGCAGGUGGUGGCGGAGAAUGGUAGUAGUACGGCGGUGAGACGUAAUGCGUAGGUGGUGGAGGAGACUUAUAGUAGUAAGGAGGUGGUGGAUACUUAACUGGGGGAGGUGGAGAUUUGUAAUAGUAUGGAGGAUGUGGUAAAGGAGAUGGUGGUGGCGGAGACUUGUAAUAGUAUGGUGGUGGAGGAUACGGUGAUGGUGGUGGUGGAGAUUUAUAGUAGUAGGGUGGUGGAGGAUAUUUCACGGGAGGUGGUGGAGACUUGUAGUAGUAAGGUGGUGGUGGAGAUUUCUCGGGCGGGGGUGGAGACUUGUAGUAGUAAGGUGGGGGUAGAUGUUUUUCGGGUGGUGGGGGAGACUUAUAGUAGUAAGGUGGGGGUGGAGAUUUUUCAGGUGGUGGGGGAGACUUGUAGUAGUACGGUGGUGGUGGAGAUUUCUCGGGUGGUGGAGGAGACUUGUAGUAGUAAGGUGGAGGUGGUGAAGGAGAUGGUGGUGGGGGAGACUUGUAGUAGUAAUGUGGGGAUGGAUAUUUUUUAGGUGGCGGGGGGGACUUGUAGUAGUAUGGUGGAGGUGGAGACUUUUCGGGCGGUGGGGGAGACUUGUAGUAGUAUGGUGGGGGUGGAGACUUUUCGGGUGGUGGGGGAGACUUGUAGUAGUAAGGUGGGGGUGGUGGUGAUUUCUCAGGCGGUGGAGGAGACUCAUAGUAGUAAGGCGGAGGUGGAGACUUUUCGGGCGGUGGAGGAGACUUGUAAUAAUAAGGUGGUGGUGGAGAUUUUUCGGGUGGGGGAGGUGACUUGUACUCAUAAGGUGGUGGAGGAUAUUUUUCGGGUGGUGGAGGUGACUUGUACUCGUAAGGUGGUGGUGGAGAUUUUUCGGGUGGUGGAGGUGACUUGUACUCGUAAGGUGGUGGCGGAGAUUUUUCGGGUGGUGGAGGUGACUUGUACUCGUAAGGUGGUGGCGGAGAUUUUUCGGGUGGUGGAGGUGACUUGUACUCAUAAGGUGGUGGUGGAGAUUUUUCGGGUGGUGGAGGUGACUUGUACUCAUAAGGUGGAGAUUUUUCAGGUGGUGGUGGUGACUUAUACUCAUAAGGUGGAGAUUUUUCAGGUGGUGGUGGUGAUUUAUAUUCAUAAGGUGGGGGUGGUGGAGAAGCAUAAGAGUAGGCAUCAGCAGAUACUGAAACUACAUUACUUGAAACAACAACUAUAAUGGCCAGCAAUGCCACUACAAAAUGGGGCCAAAACUGACCCGGAGGCGGGUUUCCGCCCGGAAUCGCCAUGAUU
rnacentral:lncRNA from 1 species